AGCGAACGCUGGCGGCAGGCCUAACACAUGCAAGUCGAACGAACUCUUCGGAGUUAGUGGCGGACGGGUGAGUAACACGUGGGAACGUGCCUUUUGGUUCGGAAUAACUCAGGGAAACUUGUGCUAAUACCGAAUGUGCCCUUCGGGGGAAAGAUUUAUCGCCAUUAGAGCGGCCCGCGUCUGAUUAGCUAGUUGGUGAGGUAACGGCUCACCAAGGCGACGAUCAGUAGCUGGUCUGAGAGGAUGACCAGCCACACUGGGACUGAGACACGGCCCAGACUCCUACGGGAGGCAGCAGUGGGGAAUCUUGCGCAAGGGGCGAAAGCCUGACGCAGCCAUGCCGCGUGAAUGAUGAAGGUCUUAGGAUUGUAAAAUUCUUUCACCGGGGACGAUAAUGACGGUACCCGGAGAAGAAGCCCCGGCUAACUUCGUG
rnacentral:rRNA from 1 species